AGCAGUCGCCGCGGGAAUACGAAGGGGGCUAGCGUUGUUCGGAAUUACUGGGCGUAAAGCGCACGUAGGCGGAUACUUAAGUUAGGGGUGAAAUCCCAGGGCUCAACCCUGGAACUGCCUUUAAUACUGGGUAUCUUGAGUUCGAGAGAGGUAAGUGGAAUUCCGAGUGUAGAGGUGAAAUUCGUAGAUAUUCGGAGGAACACCAGUGGCGAAGGCGGCUUACUGGCUCGAUACUGACGCUGAGGUGCGAAAGCGUGGGGAGCAAACAGGAUUAGAUACCCCAGUAGUCCCUGUCUCUUAUAC
rnacentral:rRNA from 1 species